rnacentral:pre_miRNA from 1 species
UGAUAUGUUUGGUAUAUAAGGUUGUAUUUGUGGAGACCCAACUAUAUAUCAAACAUAUUCUCA